UUAUUAAGAGUGUAAAUUUAUUGCUUAUAUUAUUAUUAGUUUUGGUCUUUAAAUUAAAAGAAUUUGACGGUAAUUAUAUCAUUUCAGAGGAACCUGUCCUGUAAUUGAUAAUCCACGUUAAAUUUUACCUUAUUUUUGGUUUGUAUAUCUCUGUCUAUAGAAUGUCUUAUGAGAGUAUUUUCGAUCUUGUUUUGUUAAAUUUUAUGUCAGGUCAAGGUGCAGCUAUAGUAGGGGUGGAGAUGGGUUACAUUUAUUUGCAAUUAUGGAUCUAUAUAUGUAUUUAUAUAAUGAAAUAGGAUUUGAUUGUAAUAUUUAUUAUAUUUUAUUUAUGAUAUUUGCUCUGUAUUAAGUACACAUCGCCCGUCGCUCUCAUUGUUUAAGAUGAGAUAAGUCGUAACAAAGUAGGCCUAUCGGAAGGUGGGCCUGGAAUGAUUUCAGAUUAUGCCUAGGGUUAUUUAUUAUUUACAUUAAUAGAUAUUUGUGCAAUUCAAAUUGAUCUGAUAUUAGGUUUUUUAAUUUAUUUUUUAUUUAUUAUUAUUAUGAUAGAAUUAACUUUUGGUAUUAGUAUAUUUUAUAAAAUAUACAUUUUAAUUUUUAUAGUUUAUUUUACUGUGAGGGUUUAUUAUCUAAAUUGUUUAAAGUAAAAUUUUUUGUUUGUACCUUUUGCAUCAGGGUUUAUUAAAUUAUCUUAUUUAUAAAUAGUUUUCCCGAAAUUAUAGGAGAUAUAUUUGUUUGUUAUUUAUUGUUUUAAAACUAUUAAUUAAAUAAAUAUAGGGGAGAUAUUCUAUUCAACUGUAAAUAUCUGGUUCUCUAAUAAAUGAAUUUAAUUCAGGGUCAUUUACAAUUACUAGAUAAUUACAUUUUGUCUAAUUUAAUUGAUCUAAUAAUAUGGGGGAUUAGCUCUUUGUUAUUUUUAUAGCUUUAAGGUUUAAUUUAUAAGUUUUGUAGGAUUAGUAAUAUUCUUCAUUUAUUUUGUUGUAAUUAUUUUUAUAAAUAUUUAUUUAUUUCAUUCUGGCUUGAAUUUUUAUUAGAGUUUUUAAAUUAAUUUUUAAUUUAAAGUGAUAAUGAUAAAAUUAGUAAUUUUUAUAAUUUAAGUAUAAUAAUUCGGCAAAUAUGAUUCUUACCUGUUUAUCAAAAACAUGUCCUAUUGUUUAUUUAUUUUAGGUCUGGCCUGCUCAAUGAUUAUUAUUUUAAAUAGCCGCAGUAUUUUGACUGUGCAAAGGUAGCAUAAUCAUUUGUCUCUUAAUUGGGGGCUUGUAUGAAUGGUUUGAUAAGGAUUCAACUUUCUUUACUUAAUAUUAAUGAAUUUAAUUUUUGGGUUAAAAAGCUCAAAUAUUUUUAUGGGACGAGAAGACCCUAUAGCAAUUUACUCUAUUUUUGGUGUUUAUUUUUAUUCUUUUUGGAAUUUUUAUCAUUACUAGAGUUUUGUUGGGGUGACAUGAACAUUGUUAUAACUCUUUGUUAUUACUUUUUAUUUAUUUAUAAACAACUGAUCCUUUUUUAUGGCUUAAAAGAUUAAUUUACCUUAGGGAUAACAGCGUAAUUUCUUUGGAGAGUUCAUAUUGAUAAAGAAGU
rnacentral:rRNA from 1 species